rnacentral:rRNA from 1 species
GUGGGGAAUAUUGGACAAUGGGGGGAACCCUGAUCCAGCCAUGCCGCGUGUGUGAAGAAGGCCUUUUGGUUGUAAAGCACUUUAAGUGGGGAGGAGGCUUACCUGGUUAAUACCUGGGAUAAGUGGACGUUACCCACAGAAUAAGCACCGGCUAACUCUGUGCCAGCAGCCGCGGUAAUACAGAGGGUGCGAGCGUGAAUCGGAUUUACUGGGCGUAAAGCGCGCGUAGGUGGUUAAUUAAGUCAAAUGUGAAAUCCCCGAGCUUAACUUGGGAAUUGCAUUCGAUACUGGUUAGCUAGAGUAUGGGAGAGGAUGGUAGAAUUCCAGGUGUAGCUGUAAAAUGCGUAGAGAUCUGGAGGAAUACCGAUGGCGAAGGCAGCCAUCUGGCCUAAUACUGACACUGAGGUGCGAAAGCAUGGGGAGCAAACAGGAUUAGAAACCCGUGUAGUCC